rnacentral:rRNA from 1 species
CCUACGGGAGGCAGCAGUAGGGAAUCUUCCGCAAUGGACGAAAGUCUGACGGAGCAACGCCGCGUGAACGAUGAAGGCCUUCGGGUCGUAAAGUUCUGUUGUUAGGGAAGAACAAGUGCUAGUUGAAUAAGCUGGCACCUUGACGGUACCUAACCAGAAAGCCACGGCUAACUACGUGCCAGCAGCCGCGGUAAUACGUAGGUGGCAAGCGUUGUCCGGAAUUAUUGGGCGUAAAGCGCGCGCAGGCGGUUUCUUAAGUCUGAUGUGAAAGCCCCCGGCUCAACCGGGGAGGGUCAUUGGAAACUGGGAAACUUGAGUGCAGAAGAGGAAAGUGGAAUUCCAAGUGUAGCGGUGAAAUGCGUAGAGGUUUGGAGGAACACCAGUGGCGAAGGCGACUUUCUGGUCUAGUAACUGACGCUGAGGCGACGAAAGCGGUGGGGAGACAAACGAGGUAUUAGACUACCCGUGGUACGUCCACGCUAGUAAACGAUGAGUGACUAAGUGUUAGGUACGGGUUUCCCGUCCGUUUAGUGUCUAGUAAAGUUAACCGCUAAUUAACGCACCUCCGUCCGUCGGGUAGGUACGGUCGCGACGACGUACGUAAACGUUAAAGGUAAAGUUAGACGGCGUGAGACGUCGACCGAACGGACGACCGACGAGGGAGGUAGG